rnacentral:rRNA from 1 species
AAGCGGUGGAGCAUGUGGCUUAAUUCGAGGCUACGCGCAAAACCUUAUCCCGGGCUUGACAUGCACGGAUUAGCCGGCGGAAACGUCGGUCAGGCCGCAAGGUACAACGUGCACAGGUGCUGCAUGGCUGUCGUCAGCUCGUGUCGCGAGAUGUUGGGUUCAGUCCCGUAACGAGCGAAACCCCUGUGACUAGUUGCCAGCACGUCAUGGUGGGCACUCUAGUCAGACCGCCGGCGUCAGGCCGGAGGAAGGCGGGGACG